rnacentral:miRNA from 1 species
GUUACAUUGGAAUUUCAGGUAAACAAAUAAUUUUUUCAUUGUAAGUGUAUACUGUGCAAUAUUUGGGACAUACGUAUACUAAAAAAAAAUUGCUGUUCAUCUGAAAUUCAAAUUUAAC